rnacentral:sRNA from 1 species
GACUCCAUCAAGUUGAAAAUGCAUUCUAGCAUUAUGAUGAUGCAUGCAAGGAUAUUUACCAGAACUGGGGGGGG